rnacentral:lncRNA from 1 species
CACUGGAAUUUGGGGUGUGAGGCCAAUGGAACAAAGGGGCUGAUUCCAUUUUCUCAUUUAGGUUCUCAUGUGCUUUAGGAGGUAUUUGUGGAAAGAUCAUUUUAAUGAGUUUGCACUGGGUUUGAAGGAAUGUGGCCCCUGGGUCAGAAAUCCCUACACAGAUUCUGUGUCCUCCCGUGGCUCAUCUGAACCGUCCAUGGGCUGGGCCUCCUUGUUUCCUCCUUCUCCAGGCUCUGGAUGAAAUCCUUCCUUUCCCAAGGGAGGGGAAAGCCAGCAGGAUGUGAACCAGAGGUGCUGCUUUAGGAAAGCCCCUCCAGCCUGGGAAGGAGCUCCUGGCUCCAGACACGUUUCCAGGGCCCAGGAGCAGCAGGACCUGUGCUGUUCCCAGCAGAGAAAAGCUGCCAAGGAAGAAAGGAAGAACUUUCCUUGGUGAAAACCUUCCCAGUCCCACGCUGGGUUUGCACACACAGGAGGCUCCAUCCCUGCUGGAAUCCAGUCACAGCCCCCAGAUCAAUGUGCACUUUAAGGUCUCACAGCCUGACCAGGACAAUCUCCUGCCUCUGGACAUGGAAAAUCAGUUUUUCAUUGUUACAGCACCAGCUCCAGAAUCCUCUGAGGCUGAAACAAAGACAGGGAACCUUCUGAGAUAGAACGAGCCAGAGCAAGUUGUUGUGGGAAAGGAAGAUUAAAGAUGGUAAGUGGUAAAACCUUUGCUCAUUCUGACCUCUGUACUUGGCCUCUGUACCUGGGAAUGGGUCAGCUCUGGAAAUUUCCUGGAGACACUGGAGAAUGAUCCCUGGUCUGCUGAAAAGUGGGAAAACCCCACUGGCAAUUGCAGCCCCUGAGGGAGAGCAAAAGGAGCAGGACCUCAGUCUGUGAGUGUGUGAGAAAUAAGGGAAGGACAAAUCUAUGGAUCACCCUGUGCCUCAGGGCACCAGGAAAAGCCCCUCACCUAAAAACUGAAGUGCUGUUCCACAGGGAGCCUGGAAUUGGGCUUAUCCCAGCUUUCCUUCCAG